UCAGAUUGAACGCUGGCGGCAGGCCUAACACAUGCAAGUCGAGCGGUAGCACAGAGAGCUUGCUCUCGGGUGACGAGCGGCGGACGGGUGAGUAAUGUCUGGGAAACUGCCUGAUGGAGGGGGAUAACUACUGGAAACGGUAGCUAAUACCGCAUAACGUCGCAAGACCAAAGUGGGGGACCUUCGGGCCUCAUGCCAUCAGAUGUGCCCAGAUGGGAUUAGCUAGUAGGUGGGGUAAUGGCUCACCUAGGCGACGAUCCCUAGCUGGUCUGAGAGGAUGACCAGCCACACUGGAACUGAGACACGGUCCAGACUCCUACGGGAGGCAGCAGUGGGGAAUAUUGCACAAUGGGCGCAAGCCUGAUGCAGCCAUGCCGCGUGUAUGAAGAAGGCCUUCGGGUUGUAAAGUACUUUCAGCGAGGAGGAAGGCAUUAAGGUUAAUAACCUUAGUGAUUGACGUUACUCGCAGAAGAAGCACCGGC
rnacentral:rRNA from 1 species